rnacentral:rRNA from 1 species
GAUGAACGCUAGCGGCAGGCCUAAUACAUGCAAGUCGAACGGUGUAGUAAUACACAGUGGCGCACGGGUGCGUAACACGUAUGCAACCUACCUAUCAUUGGGGGAUAGCCUUUGGAAACGGAGAUUAAUACCGCAUAAGACAGUAACAUGGCAUCAUGUAGCUGUUAAAGCUUCGGCGAUGAUAGAUGGGCAUGCGUCCAAUUAGUUAGGUGGUGAGGUAACGGCUCACCAAGACGAUGAUUGGUAGGGGAUCUGAGAGGAUAAUCCCACACACUGGCACUGGGAUACGGGCCAGCCUCCUACGGGAGGCAGCAUUAGGGAAUAUUGGGCAAUGGACGGAAGUCUGACCCAGCCAUGCCGCGUGCAGGAUGAAGUCGUUAUGCGUUGUAAACUGCUUUUUUAUAGGAAGAAGGAGACCUUGCGAGGUUUGGUGACGGUACUAUAAGAAUAAGCACCGGCUAACUCCGUGCCAGCAGCCGCCGUAAUAC